rnacentral:rRNA from 1 species
UACGAAGGGGGCUAGCGUUGCUCGGAAUCACUGGGCGUAAAGGGUGCGUAGGCGGGUCUUUAAGUCAGGGGGGAAAUCCUGGAGCUCAACUCCAGAACUGCCCUUGAUACUGAAGGUCUUGAGUUCGGGAGAGGUGAGUGGAACUGCGAGUGUAGAGGUGAAAUUCGUAGAUAUUCGGCGGAACACCAGUGGCGAAGGCGACUCACUGGCCCGAUACUGACGCUGAGGCGCGAAAGCGUGGGGAGCAAACAGG